rnacentral:rRNA from 1 species
CAUCUUUUUAUGAUUAAAACUCCGGUGGUUAAAGAUGAGUAUGCGUUCUAUUAGUUNGUUGGUAAGGUAAAGGCUUACCAAGACUACGAUAGAUAGGGGGCCUGAGAGGGUGAUCCCCCACACUGGUACUGAGACACGGACCAGACUCCUACGGGAGGCAGCAGUGAGGAAUAUUGCGCAAUGGAGGAAACUCUGACGCAGCCAUGCCGCGUGUAGGAAGAAUGUCCUAUGGAUUGUAAACUACUUUUAUACAAGAAGAAACUUUAGUACGUGUACUGAACUGACGGUAUUGUAG